ensembl:rRNA 5S_rRNA 5S ribosomal RNA
GCUUACAGCCAUACCACCCUGAGCGUGCCUGAUCUCGUCUGAUCUCGCCCGAUCUCGUCUGAUCUCGGAAGCUAAGCUGGGUCGGGCCUGGUUAGUACUUGGAUGGGAGACCGCCUGGGAAUACCAGGUGCUGUAAGCU